GAAAGACCUGCUGCCCCCAUGAUUCAAUUACCUCCCACUGAGUCCUUCCCACAACACAUGGGAAUUGUGGAAGCUACAACUCAAGAUGAGUUUUGGGUGAGGACACAGCCAAACUAUAUCAAUCCAGGUGUUCUGUUUCUUCCUGGUUCAAUCUUGGCAGGUUAUGUGUUUCCAGGAAUUUAUCCAUCUCCUCUAGAUUUUCUAGUUGUGUACCACACCAAGGAACUCCCACACUCCGAAUGAACAGCCCAGUGAUCAGGAGCUUUGAAUCAAUUCUUGGCACCUAACACUUUGUGAAGAGUCUGCUAAACUCCCUCUAUCAGAAAUCCCAGAAGACUUGAGAACAGGUCAUCCUUGGAGCUGUAUUUGAACGGAGUCAGGAUCUGGAAGCCCAAGUCUCCUUGUCAAUGUCUGCUUGGUUCCCAAGGACACCUGUAAAUGAAGAGGGGCACAGUAUACGGAAGACAUUGCUGGAAAGUGUGCUCUCUUUAUGGCCGGGUACAGCCAAGGGAGAAGAAGGAACACUGAUAUGGCCAGCAUUUCUCUUAAAACCUAAGAGUGGCCAGGCAUGGUGGCUGAUGCCUGUAAUCCCAGCACUUUGGGAGGCCAAGGCAGGGAAUCACGAGGUCAAGGAAUCAAGACCAUCCUAGACAACCAACAUGGUGAAACCCCGUCUCUACUAAAAAUACAAAAAUUAGAUGGGCGUAGUGGCGCACGCUUGUAGUCCCAGCUACUCUCGGAAGGCUGAGGCAGGAGAAUUGCUUGAACCCGGGAGGCGGAAGUUGCAGUGAGCCGAGAUCGCGCCACUGCACUCCAGCCUGGGCGACACAGUGAGACUCCAUCUCAAAAAAAAAAAAAAAGAAAGAAAGAAAGAAAAAAGAAAAAAAACCUGAGUGUACUGAUUGGUAGUUGGUAAAUAUUAUUGAAUGAAUUUCUUCAUAAAUUAUAGAUAGUCCAAUGCAUUUGUUAUUAUCCCACAUUCAAAAAACUAUUCCGUGGAUUAACGUAGUUAUUACCCUGUUGAAAAUCCCAUUUUCCAUUCGAAAUAACAUCCCAAUUGAAGUUUCUACCCACAGUUGAAAUGUGUCCCCUGUGAUAAUUUAAGUAUCAGAGUUUCUUAAUGAUUUGCUUUGUAGAUAAUAAAUUAGGCUUGAUUCAAGACUUUUCCUAUCACAAUGCCAUUUUUGUAAUAAUGCCUGGUGUUACUCCUAUUGUAAUACUAAUGCUCAGAUAGCUUCUCUUGAAUAGAAAGGAGAAGCUGUCUAUAUCCAUAGGAACAAGUACAUACAAAUGUCUUCCAUCUCAUAAAGCAUUGCCAAACUAUCCUCUUCUAUCGGGCCUCAACAUUUCUACCUGAAAAUUAACUGCAAGGAUGCUUUACUACAUUAUAAUAUACCCUUCCUACCCAAGCGGUGUCUGCUCUAAGAUGUCAACCACCUUUUGCAAUGCACUAUUGCCCUUUCUGCAAAUUGGACAGUUCCUUCAGAAUUUACAACUUCUGUUUCAAUGUAGGAGCCAGGUGGGAUGCUUUACGCAGAGACAGGGAUGGGUGGAGAGAGACAGAAAUACAUGCAGUCUCCCUAUAAAGGUUCUUCAAUCCCAUACCUCAAUGUAUACAAAUCUGUAAAAAUGUAUACAUGGAUAAACAUGCAUCAAAUAGAGAAAUCCCAAAGUUCACUUUGGGGAAAAAAAAAAAAGAAAAGAAAAAGUUACCAACCAGUCUAAGCAA